AUCAACGCUGGCGGCGUGCCUCAGACAUGCAAGUCGAACGAUUAAACUUUCCUUCGGGAAAGAUAUAAAGUGGCGCACGGGUGAGUAACACGUAAGUAAUCUACCUUCGAGUGGGGAAUAACGUUCGGAAACGAACGCUAAUACCGCAUAAUGCAGCGGCACCUAAUGGUGACAGUUGUUAAAGGAGCAAUUCGCUUGAAGAGGAGCUUGCGGCAGAUUAGCUAGUUGGUAAGGUAACGGCUUACCAAGGCUACGAUCUGUAACCGGUCUAAGAGGACGGUCGGUCACACUGACACUGAAUAACGGGUCAGACUCCUACGGGAGGCAGCAGUCGGGAAUUUUGGGCAAUGGGCGAAAGCCUGACCCAGCAACGCCGCGUGAAGGAUGAAGUAUUUCGGUAUGUAAACUUCGAAAGAAUGGGAAGAAUCAAUGACGGUACCAUUUAUAAGGUCCGGCUAACUACGUGCCAGCCGCCGCCGUAAG
rnacentral:rRNA from 1 species